rfam:Myotis davidii contig90155, whole genome shotgun sequence.
CAUGCACCAGUGGGGUCCCUCAGCCUGGCCUGCGGGAUUGGGCUGAAAUUGGCUCUCUGACAUCCCCCAAAGGGUCCAAAUUGCAAGAGGGCGCAGGCCAGGCCGAGGGACCCCACCGGUGCACA